rnacentral:rRNA from 1 species
AGAGUUUGAUCCUGGCUCAGGAUGAACGCUGGCGGCGUGCUUAACACAUGCAAGUCGAACGAGCCUUCGGGCUAGUGGCGGACGGGUGAGUAACGCGUGAGAAUCUGCCCUCAGGAGGGGGAUAACGGCUGGAAACGGCCGCUAAUACCCCAUAUGCCGCGAGGUGAAAUGAGAAAUCGCCUGAGGAUGAGCUCGCGUCUGAUUAGCUAGUUGGUGGGGUAAGAGCUUACCAAGGCAUCGAUCAGUAGCUGGUCUGAGAGGAUGAUCAGCCACACUGGGACUGAGACACGGCCCAGACUCCUACGGGAGGCAGCAGUGGGGAAUUUUCCGCAAUGGGCGCAAGCCUGACGGAGCAACGCCGCGUGAGGGAUGAAGGCCUCUGGGCUGUAAACCUCUUUUCUCAAGGAAGAAGAACUGACGGUACUUGAGGAAUAAGCCACGGCUAAUUCCGUGCCAGCAGCCGCGGUAAUACGGGAGUGGCAAGCGUUAUCCGGAAUUAUUGGGCGUAAAGCGUCCGCAGGCGGUCUUGAAAGUCUGUUGUUAAAGCGUGGAGCUCAACUCCAUUUCAGCAAUGGAAACUAGAAGACUAGAGUGUGGUAGGGGCAGAGGGAAUUCCCGGUGUAGCGGUGAAAUGCGUAGAUAUCGGGAAGAACACCAGUGGCGAAGGCGCUCUGCUGGGCCAUAACUGACGCUCAUGGACGAAAGCCAGGGGAGCGAAAGGGAUUAGAUACCCCUGUAGUCCUGGCCGUAAGCGAUGAACACUAGGUGUCGGGGGAAUCGACCCCCUCGGUGUCGUAGCCAACGCGUUAGUGUUCCGCCUGGGGAGUACGCACGCAAGUGUGAAACUCAAAGGAAUUGACGGGGGCCCGCACAAGCGGUGGAGUAUGUGGUUUAAUUCGAUGCAACGCGAAGAACCUUACCAGGGUUUGACAUCCUGCGAAUCUUUUGGAAACAGAAGAGUGCCUUCGGGAGCGCAGAGACAGGUGGUGCAUGGCUGUCGUCAGCUCGUGUCGUGAGAUGUUGGGUUAAGUCCCGCAACGAGCGCAACCCACGUCUUUAGUUGCCAGCAUUGAGUUGGGCACUCUAGAGAGACCGCCGGUGAUAAACCGGAGGAAGGUGUGGAUGACGUCAAGUCAUCAUGCCCCUUACAUCCUGGGCUACACACGUACUACAAUGCUACGGACAGAGGGCAGCAAACUCGCGAGAGCUAGCAAAUCCCAUAAACCGUGGCUCAGUUCAGAUCGUAGGCUGCAACUCGCCUACGUGAAGGAGGAAUCGCUAGUAAUCGCAGGUCAGCAUACUGCGGUGAAUACGUUCCCGGGCCUUGUACACACCGCCCGUCACACCAUGGAAGUUGGCCAUGCCCGAAGUCGUUACU